rnacentral:lncRNA from 1 species
GCUUGACAAGAACAAGCUCACUGGCUCACCUCUUGGUGUUAGCUGAGCUGCUGCUCAUCAUUGAAAAGAAUUAACAUGUCAUCCAAUCGGCUUUUAGGUCAGUUACCCUCUGGAUUAUGGUCAUUGAGUUUACUUUGAUUACUUGAUUUAUUGGAUAACUCAUCCGAGGGUGAAAUUCCAAAAAGGAUUGAGAGUGCGUAUAAUUUUGAAGCAAUUAGUUUGCAAAAGAACAAGUUUAUAGGCUGGCUGCCUGAAUAUAUUGGAAAUUGUUUGCUGCUGAAGGCUAUUGAUUUGGCGAUAAUUAUUUCAAUGGGGGCCUUCCUAUAUCAAUGUGAAAACUUGGAUUGUGCUGAUAUCUUGAUGUCAGUGGCAAUUCAUUGAUGGGGGAAUUUCCAGUCUGGAUUGGAGAUACAAUAAGCCUGGAGUUCUUGGAUCUUUCUGACGGUAACUUGGCGAGAUACAAAACUCCAUAGGAAAUCUUCAACGUAAACUUGUCAAGAAAUCAGUUUGUAGAAAGCUUACUAGAGUCUCUUAUAAAUUGCGUAAACCUUAAGGUCCUUGAUCUUGGCCAAAAUUUGUUCACUGGUUCAGUCACCGUGGCAAUUGCAAACCUAUCCAACCUUGAUGUAAUCGAUUUGUUCUUCAGUCACUUCACCGAAAGUUUACUGAAAGAACUUAUAGAUCUUUCCGCCCUUGUCACCUUCAAUGUUUCCUACAAUCGAACAUCUCCCAGUUGAACUUCCAGGCUAUGGCUUCUUCGACUACAUCGCCUUCCUCGUCCGUCAUUGGUUAUCCGCUCCUAUGUGGCUCUGUUGUCAAGCAAUCAUGCCCUUCAGAAUGUUGUCAAGCAAUCCGCUCCAGGGUAACUUCCGUUCACUAGGCAAUUCCAACAGUAAAGCUUGGUUUGAUUUGUGCGUCUCAUCAAACCAUCCAAACAUGGAUGGGGUGAUCAGAAUGUUAGAACUAAUCCAAUGUACUUCAGAAAGCCAAGACGAACUCGAAUGAUCUUACAUCAAAAAGAUCGAUAUAAGCAAUAAAAGAUGGGCAAAUAGGAAUACAGUUUGUUGGUUAGAUAUGCGAAGAAAAACAUCAGUCAAGGAUUUUCUUCAACCUUGUGUUAUUUUACUUAGUCUCUUCUAUAAAACUUUUGGUUCUUUUUGGUGUCGAAGUAUAUCUUUUAAUGCAUUUAUGGUACAGGAACAUUCCUCUACUAAUAUGUUUUAUUGAG